CUCCAGCUUCGGCUGGUCUACCAACUGCAUCCUUACCUGGAUGAGCAGUCCCUAGCAACAGUGAAACAUGCUCUGGUAACUUCCCGCUUGGAUUUCCGCAACACGCUCUACGUGGGGCUGCCUUUGAAAACGGUCCAGAUAUUGCAACUGGUACAGAAUAGAGCUGCCAGGCUGCUGACGGGGUCCAGCCG